UACGUAGGGUGCAAGCGUUGUCCGGAAUUAUUGGGCGUAAAGAGCUCGUAGGCGGUCUGUCGCGUCUGCUGUGAAAACUCAGGGCUUAACCCUGAGCUUGCAGUGGGUACGGGCAGACUAGAGUGCGGUAGGGGAGACUGGAAUUCCUGGUGUAGCGGUGAAAUGCGCAGAUAUCAGGAGGAACACCGGUGGCGAAGGCGGGUCUCUGGGCCGUAACUGACGCUGGAGGGAGCGGAAAAGCAUGGGGAGCGAACAGG
rnacentral:rRNA from 1 species